AUUGAACGCUGGCGGCAGGCCUAACACAUGCAAGUCGAGCGAGCGGCGGACGGGUGAGUAAUGUAUGGGGAUCUGCCCGAUGGCGGGGGAUAACUACUGGAAACGGUAGCUAAUACCGCAUACUAUCAGAUGAACCCAUAUGGGAUUAGCUAGGUGGUGGGGUAAAGGCUCACCUAGGCGACGAUCCCUAUCUGGUCUGAGAGGAUGACCAGCCACACUGGAACUGAGACACGGCCCAGACUGCUACGGUAGGCAGCAGGGGGGAAGAUUGCACUAUUGGCGCAAGCCUGAUGCAGCCAUGCCGCGUGUAUGAAGAAGGCCUUAGGGUUGUAAAGUACUUUCAGCGGGGAGGCGUUACCCGCAGAAGAAGCACCGGCUAACUCCGUGCCAGCCGCCGCGGUAAUAC
rnacentral:rRNA from 1 species